UAAGAACGAACUUUAUACGGUGAAACGACCGUGAAACAACCGUCAUUCGACCAUGCUUUCACCGUGUCGCCGAAACCGCCAGGGUUUAUAGCAUUAUAAAAAAAAU